rnacentral:rRNA from 1 species
UGAAUACGAGAUGCUACGGCGUCGAAGCAGUCUAUGUCAUACUUCCAAGAAAAGCUCGCACUGUCAUAAACAAAUAAUGCCUGUACCAUAACCGACACAGGUGGGUAGGUAGAGUAUACUAAGGGGCGCGAGAUAACUCUCUCUAAGGAACUCGGCAAAAUGACUCCGUAACUUCGGGAGAAGGAGUGCCUUAUUUAUAAGGUUGCAAUAACAAGAUCCAAGCAACUGUUUAUCAAAAACACAGGUCUCCGCUAAGUCGUAAGACGAUGUAUGGGGGCUGACGCCUGCCCAGUGCCAGAAGGUUAAAGAAGUUGGUUAGCAUUCGCGAAGCUGAUAACUGAAGCCCUGGUGAACGGCGGCCGUAACGAUAACGGUCCUAAGGUAGCGAAAUUCCUUGUCGGGUAAGUUCCGACCCGCACGAAAGGCGUAAUGAUUUGGAUACUGUCUCGGAGAGGGGCUCGGUGAAAUAGACUUGUCCGUGAAGAUGCGGACUACCUGCACCAGGACAGAAAGGCCCUAUGAAGCUUUACUGUAACUUGAGAUUGAAAUUGGACUUUACUUGCGCAGUAUAGGUGGGAGGCGUUGAUAAUAUUCUUGCGGGAUUAUUUGAGCCAUCAGUGAGAUACCACUCUUGUAAUGUUAGAUUUCUAACUUUGUAUCAUUAUCUGGUCAAAGGACAGUUUCAGGCGGGCAGUUUGACUGGGGCGGUCGCCUCCUAAACGGUAACGGAGGCGCACAAAGGUUUCCUCUGAACGGGUAGAAAUCGUAUCUAGAGUGUAAAGGCAUAAGGAAGCUUGACUGUGAGACCUACAAGUCGAGCAGGGACGAAAGUCGGUCUUAGUGAUCUGACGGUGCUGAGUGGAAAGGCCGUCACUCAACGGAUAAAAGUUACUCUAAGGAUAACAGGCUGAUCUCCCCCAAGAGUUCACAUCGACGGGGAGGUUUGGCACCUCGAUGUCGGCUCAUCGCAUCCUGGGGCGGUAGUACGUCCCAAGGGUUGGGCUGUUCGCCCAUGAAAGCGGUACGCGAGCUGGGUUCAGAACGUCGUGAGACAGUUCGGUCCAUAUCCGGUGUAGGCGUUAGAAUAUUGAGAGGAGCCUUCUUUAGUACGAGAGGACCGAGAAGGACAUACCUCUGGUGUACCAGUUAUCGUGCCAACGGUAAACGCUGGGUAGCUAUGUAUGGAGUGGAUAACCGCUGAAAGCAUCUAAGUGGGAAGCCCACCUCAAGAUAAG